CUGAGGUGGCUGUUUUCCAGCUCUACCUUGUUUAUCUACCAACGAGCUUCUGUUUUAAGGUACAAUCAGUCAUUUCAACAGUCUGACCCUGACACUUUUGUUUGUAAAAAUGAGGAAUGGGGAAACUGUUCGACAAUUGCUAAACUGAUAUUCUUGAAAAUUAUAGGUAUAUAUUUUAGCCUAGCCAGCCCUAUGGCAAUCAUUAAUUUAACAAUUUAACAGCAGAAACUAUUAUAGAUUGCGCCUUUAAGAAGCAGUUCGUUCAUUCCCCCGCCCUCUCCAAAGGCAGCAGAAAAGCGUUUGACGUGGCAUAGGGUCCGGAGAUGACAUAGUUGAACAUCACCGCAGCUAGCCUGCUACAUCUUGCUAUUCAAGUAUAGCCUACUGUAAGUAACGAUAGGUUUGCAGAAUAGGUGAGCGACACGAACGACCAAGACCGUCUGCUCUAAAGCAUGAAUCUCCCCAACGUGCUGCAAUCAGAGGAAAUUAUGUGGUUCUUCUUUUUCGUCAGCUUCCUUAACUCUGUGUCGGCCUAUGAUGUAGAUCUGAAGAAACUGGAUGGUCUCGCAAAAGCGAAGGUGGAGUCUUGCGGUGGAUGACAGCUGAACAGGCUGAGAGAGGUCAAAGCCUUUGUGACCCAGGACAUUCCUCUUUACCAUAACCUGGUAAUGAAGCACAUCCCUGGGGCUGACCCCGAGCUUGUCCUCCUCAACCACUACUACGAAGAGCUGGACCGGAUUGCCCUGUCUGACAUGACCCGCUCUGAGAUCAACGAGCUGCUGGAGAAGUUGGGCUUCUACAAGAAGGCUCAGCCUGAGGACCAGGUCCCAGAGGAGUUCCGCUUCUCCCCUGCCAAGGACAGCCCCUUCAAAGCAACCCCCUCCUCUUCAGCCCCCGCAGACAACGCUUCCUCAGAUUCUGACGCAGAGGCCAAGCACUCUGACCUGUAAUCCUCACAGCAGUAAAGAGUCUGCAGUCUGUGUGGACCUGGACAGACAGGGUUACUCUCCUCCAGUGCUGGUCCAUGACCAGUUUGUUUCUGUAGCUCAUAACAUCAUUAUUUGGGAUCAGAACACGGGACAAGCAGAUCCUGGUUCAGCACUUGGGGUAACUGUCUCUCUGUAGCAUCAGAAAAGGUUACACAAUUUUUAUCUUCUGUUUGUCCAUUUUUUCAGGUGAUGUGUAUGAUUUACCACUGUGUCAAGUGUCUUAAGGGGUCUCUCCUCUGAUAAUCUCUCUCGUGUGUCUAAUGACUUCCUGUCCUCUGUGGAACUGAAUGACGCCCCUGGCUGUAAAAUCUCCUGAUUGGCUUGGGGCCGAUGCAACGUGUCCUGGUGGGUAGGGCUUAGGCACACAAGGGGAUUCAAGUGAUGAGAUGACAAUUGUAAAACAAAAAAUUUAACUUUCAAUAUUUUUGUAUGAUGUCCCAUUUGUAGAAUGUCCAUCUUAAAAUCAAACUCCCAUUGUGCACGCACACACAGGAAAAGAAAUAAGUGUUAGAGUAGAAGACACACUGUUUCUUAAAUUGGUAAAUUAAUUCACAUUCAUUGUGGUGUACAGAAACAUUGAAUUGACUGUGUCCAAGCAUGUAUGUACAGGAUUAACUAAUUUGUGGAAACUUUCUGGUUGCGGAAUAUUAAAUUGUCGUAACCAUAUUUUCUUAACUCUGCAUUGUUGGAAAAGGACCCAUAAGUAAGCAUUUCAUUGUUAGCCAACACCUGUUUACGAAACGUGACAAAAUUUAGAUUUAGUAUAUUUCUCUAGUCUCAAUUAGUGAAAUAAAUCAAAACCAGUUCUAAAACCAACAAAAGAAACCAUAAAACAUUUUUAUUUAGCUAGAAUUCAGAAAAUAUACAUGGGCAAUAAAGUACAUUCAGCCUUUAUCAUUAAUAUUCUCCUGUCAUAAUCAACUGAGCUGAAAGCCAGCUUUCAUUGGGCCCAAGAAUUUAGAGAAGGGAAGUUGGCUGGUUCCUCUAGGUUCCGUCCUUUCCAGGGAGUUUUUCCUAGCCACCGUGCUUCUACACCUGCAUUGUUUGAGGUUUUAGGCUGGGUUUCUGUACAUCAGUUGAUGUAAGAAGGGCUUUAUAACUACAUUUGAUUGGUUGGCCUCUAACAAACCUUUUCAUAUUCAAAUGUUUAUUUAACCAGGCAAGUCCGAUAAGAACAAAUUCUUAUUUAUAAUGAUGGCUAAACCCGGACGACGCUGGGCCAAUUGUGCGCUGCCCUAUGGGACUCCCAAUCACGGCUGGUUGUGAUACAGCCUGGAAUCGAAUCAGGGUCUGUAGUGACACCUCUAGAGCUGAGAAGCAGUGCCUUGCGCCACUCGGGAGCCCACAAAUACUGACAUUACCAUAACAACCUAUAGCCUGUACAAACAUUUUCAUAGAUGGACUCAUGAAACAAAACUUCAAAGCAUAUGGUAUGAUCACCAACAAAAAUGUUACCCAAGCAUAAUUAAAGAGCUGUGUGUUUCUA